rnacentral:rRNA from 1 species
GAUGAACGCUAGCGGCAGGCCUAAUACAUGCAAGACGAACGGUAAGUUUGAUAGCAAUAUUGAACCUAGAGUGUCGUAAGGGUGCGUAACACGUAUGCAAUCUACCCUCAACAGGAGGAUAGCUCCCCGAAAGGGGAAUUAACACUCCAUAAGAUCACAGGAUGGCAUCAUUCAGUGAUUAAAACUCCGGUGGUUGAGGAUGAGCAUGCGCAUGAUUAGUUAGUUGGCGGGGUAAUGGCCCACCAAGACGAUGAUCAUUAGGGGAACUGAGAGGUUGAUCCCCCACACUGGCACUGAGAUACGGGCCAGACUCCUACGGGAGGCAGCAGUGAGGAAUAUUGGUCAAUGGGCGGAAGCCUGAACCAGCCAUCCCGCGUGCAGGAAGACGGCCCUAUGGGUUGUAAACUGCUUUUCCAGGGGGAGAAACUUUCCGAUGCAUCGGGAUUUGACGGUACCCUGGGAAUAAGCAUCGGCUAACUCCGUGCC